UGAGCCAAUCAUGUGUUUCAGCCU
rnacentral:siRNA from 1 species